GACGAACGCUGGCGGCGUUCUUAACACAUGCAAGUCGAACGAAGAGCGAUGGAAGCUUGCUUCUAUCAAUCUUAGUGGCGCACGGGUGAGUAACGCGUAAUCAACCUGCCCUUCAGAGGGGGACAACAGUUGGAAACGACUGCUAAUACCGCAUACGAUCUAACCUCGGCAUCGAGGAAAGAUGAAAGGUGGCCUCUAUGUAUAAGCUAUCACUGAAGGAGGGGAUUGCGUCUGAUUAGCUAGUUGGAGGGGUAACGGCCCACCAAGGCGAUGAUCAGUAGCCGGUCUGAGAGGAUGAACGGCCACAUUGGGACUGAGACACGGCCCAGACUCCUACGGGAGGCAGCAGUGGGGAAUCUUCCGCAAUGGACGAAAGUCUGACGGAGCAACGCCGCGUGAGUGAUGACGGCCUUCGGGUUGUAAAGCUCUGUUAAUCGGGACGAAAGGCCUUCUUGCGAAUAGUGAGAAGGAUUGACGGUACCGGAAUAGAAAGCCACGGCUAACUACGUG
rnacentral:rRNA from 1 species